GUCAUAUAGAUUUAGGUUAGGAUGUGAGCUCCUGCGGUUUAGUGUUUAGAAUUUUCCUUCUCAGUGAUGUAGCCCAGAGACGCCAGGCUGUAUACAGAUGCAGAAAAUGCAAGAGAAUUUCAGCCCCUCCAUCUUCAAGCACUGACCUGAACAGCUUAAAAUUUUACAGGAUGUAUGACUAGAAUAGAAUGACUAAAUCUGUCAUUUAUUCAUUUAUACGGCAUCAUGAAUCUCUCACCUAUCCACCACCUGAGCAAAGGAAAUGGAACACAAAAGAAGAUGGAGGUUGCCGUGGAACCGGGGCCUUGGGAACCUCAAACAAUCAUCAUAGUGGUCAUUUUUGGGCUUGUAUGUCUGCUCCACUUGACUGCAUUUCUCUAUACACUCUGCUUUCAGAAUUAUGGGAAUUCAGAGUCCAAAACCUUGGUACAUUCUGUAGCCCAAAGGGUAGAGGAUAGGGAAGAUUCAACAUCCCAAAAAUAUCCAUCCCACUCAGUCACUGAGCCCACAUAUGUCCCACAUAGGGAGAAAUCCCCUAUACUGAUCUAUUUGUAAACACAUGCUUUGUGUUUAACCUUUUCAUGACAAGUGCUUCAUCAAAUCCCUUUAUAUCACGAUUGCCCUGGCAAGUUAUGUCAUGAUGGGGUAAAAUAACAUACACUGUCACCACAAUUCCUUCUCCUGAAAGUACAUCCCUCAUCCCAUCAAAGGUUUAUUUUAGUAAUCAAAUUGCAUAGUUUGAUAAUUCUAUUUAUCCUUCAUCCAUUCAUUCUAAAAACAGGCUCCCCUCUUCCUUGUACAUAAUUUGACAUCCUGGUUUUUAUUCCCAUGGCAGAAUAUUUUACCUUCAGUGGUGCACCUGCAGGUAGUCAUCUUAUUGGAAUUUAUUUACUUAGAGAAAUUCUGAGGCCGAGCUCAAUGAAUGGAGGAAGUAAAAGGAUGUUCUGUUGGUUUCCAGUGCUUGUACCACAAGUAGAAAUAUACCUUACUAUUGGUGCCUUACAUUCAACAACUGUUCUCCAGAUAGCUAAAGGAACACCCAGAGUACCAUGAGUACUACAGUGUGAUAGUAUUUAUGCUGCCAUGAGUGUCCUAGCGACCCCAAUGUAAGCCGUCAAAAGGUUUGUGAUUGGUUUUAUUUCUUACCUGGGGUCAGUCAGGUACUGCCUUUUGAACAACCUGAAGGUCUCUGCCUGAGCCAGGUCCAGCUGAUGUUCCCACCAUUGAGCAGGAAGUAAAUUGCUUAGUUGAUACAUAUCCUGGCACUUGGAAGAGCAAAAUGGAUUGAUAUAAACAUUGAAUGCGUAUUAUUGUAUAGAGACACUCAAGAUGACUUCCUUCUGUGAUGCAAUCUGCAAUUACCAGGAAGUACCUAAAACGUCUCAACCAAUCUCAAUCCCUCUUUGCCCAGGUAAUAAUAGAAUAUACUUUUCAGCAUUCGUGAGUUGUUUCAUUUAAGUCAUUAACGAAUCAACUUGGCAAGAUAUUAGAUGCUACCUGCAAAAAAGCUUUAUCGGAUGGUUUGCUUCUUUCUUAAGAAUGCAGCAAUUUCUAUGUCAUAGAAUUAACAUCCUGUACAAAGAUCCUCUAUGGCAAUGGGGAAGUACUACAGCUUCCCAAUAAUAUCUUACAUCAGGAAGUACGCAUACAGCUGUAGCAAUCUUUGUAAAUCACUGCAACUAAAAUGAACAAAAUGCAAGAUACAGUAACAGCGAGCAUCUUAUACCUUUGCCAUCCCACCAAUCCCCCUCCCACGUCCAGAAUUGGAGCACUCAGUUUAGCACUUUCAUAUUAUAAAUAUUCGGCAGGAGUCAUAUAUUAAUGCUUCACAAGCAACUUUAGCAGUUCCCAUCCAGUUCUCUUUGGGUUUUAAUGAAAGCUGCUCCACAGAGCGGGUGACAAGUUUUACUAACAUUAAGCAACUUGGAGGAAGUAUCAGUAUAUUAUCACUUCUUACACUUCACCUUUCAGGGAAGGAGUGGGCAAACGAGAGAUCCCCAGAUAUAGAAUUGCAACUUCCAUGAUGCUUUCACAUUCUAAAGUCUGGCAAAAUAUCAUGUGAAGUUGUUGGUCUGCAACAUCUGUGGAUCUACCUUUUGUCCAGCCCUGUUUUGGAGCAUUAAAGACUAUGCACUGGCACUUGAAAGGUGUUCUGUCUCAUUGGAGGAAGAGGAAGUACCUUUAAACAAUUUCCAUAUGUUUCCAUAGAACAUUACCAAGAUAAAUAGGAUAUACUAAGUCCAUUUAAAAACACUAGCAAUAUUUUUUUCCCAUGUAAGAAAAUACAUGGAUUUGUAAUAAAACACCCAUUUCUUAUAGUUACACUGCCAUUAAACCUGGGAUCGUACUGUAGCCUUCUUCUGGAAUCCUUGUCCUUCCAUUCCAAUAGGAAAGAAAUGGAGCUAGAAUACGAUAGGAUACAAGCAAAGGAUCUUGGGGAUUCUUAAUCUGCUUUUAUAAACAAUAAUACAAAUUAAAAGCAAAGGAUCACGUGAGAUUACAAUUACUCAACCAUGGACAGUGAAAAGGCAGAUCUUGGAAAAUGACUAAAUCACCCUCAGGAGGAUUAAAGAAGCUUGUCCACUUGUUACAGCACAUGCAAGAAUAGAACAAGCAGAGGAUUCAACAUUGUCGGAUUACUACAUUAACUAGACAUAAGACAUAAGGAAAACCAUCAUGGAGAGGAAAAAAUAAGGUUUUUGUGACAAAUAUGCAUCAGAAGAAGCCAACAAGUGUAAACAUUUGUCACAGG